GGGUCAGUAGGUUGGUCGUGCCACCGGUACGUACUGGUCUCACUGAUUCCUCCUUCCUGAAGAACCGUAAUGCCAUUAAUUUGGUGUUGCGGGGAAACAGGACUGUUACUUUGAAAAAAUUAGAGUGUUUGAAGCAAGCUAACGCUUGAAUACAUUAGCAUGGAAUAAUGAAAUAGGACGAUCGAUCCUAUUUUGUUGGUUUCCAGGAUUGACGUA
rnacentral:rRNA from 1 species